GCCAUUACCGUCUAGAAGCCGGUAAGGCUUUGACUGUUAGAAGGACAGUUAAUAUGGUUGGAUGAUUUCAGUUUAGGCUUCCUGACUCUCCUCCACAGCAGAUGAGGGAGAGGGUUCCAUACAUGGUCAGCUUCAGGACAUUCUGCUGACUGAUUGGUGGUAAGGGGACAAGAUGGUAUGUCCAGCGUGAGCUUCAUCAGUCUUCUGAUUCCUGUCUGUCUUGGGGCCUUCUUGCUUGUGGUCAACAUGCAGUUAACUUCUUCCACCUGGUGGGGAUUUUAAUAUCUGCACAACAAUUCGAGGGUAUGGUUCAGGACAUUAUCUAUAUCCCUGGAAGAGGAACUAAAGCUCCUUGACUUUGUUUUAUAGCUAAACUCCCAUUUUGUCUUGCUUGCCUCUUUCCCUUUGUUUCUGCAUUUUCUCACUUCUCUGGUUAAAUUUGCUCUUUGGAACUCAGUGAAAGCCUAGGAGACUAAAGCUUUUCUGCAAAUAAGAGAUGGGGGAUAGGGCCCGGGGGAAUGGGGGGAGUCUGUUCCCAGGAAGGCCCCAGAGUGCUCUAAUCAGUUUCACGUCAGGAGCUGGGGUAUAAUGAUGAGUGAGAAUCACGUGUUCUCUGCCGUCAGCUUGCUCAUGGCCCAGCGAGGCAGGCAGACAUGUAACCAUCAAACACAAAAGGCAAGGGAAACUGCUGUGAUUGAUUCUGCCUGGAGAGGGAACACGGGUCUCAAUAAAUAUCCCAGAUGUGGCAUUUGGUCUGGCUUUCGAGGGGCAAAUGUGUUUUUUCAAGUGGUGAUGGGAGAGAUCCACACCGAGGGAACUGAAUGAACAGAAACCCGCAGGGUUUGAAGCUGAGGCACCUUGGAAACCAUUGAUUUUUCUCCAGGACACAGACAGCAACAGCCGAGCUGCUUGCUCAGAACUCCGUGGGGCAUUCCAGAGCCCGAGGGAUGAUGCGAGGGUGGCUUGAGGGAGUGAUGAGCAGUGCCCUGGGGCUGAAGCACACGAUGUGAGUUGGGAGGUAGGGAAAUAGAGCAAGGUAACAAAAAGUUAACUGUUUAAGAGUUGGAUCACAGAAUUGAGCGCCCAAGAAUUGAUGUUUUUGAAUUGCGGUGCUGGUGAAGACUCUUGAGAGCCCCUUGGGACAGCAAGGAGAUCAAACCAGUCAAUCCUAAAGGAAAUUAACCCUGAAUAUUCAUUGGAAGGACUAAUAUUGAAGCUGAAGCUCCAAUAUUUGGCCACCUGAUGCGAAGAGCCAACUCAUUGGAAAAGACCCUGAUUCUGGGAAAGAUUGAGGGCAGAAGAAGGGGAAGGCAGAGGAUGAGAUGGUUAGAUAGCAUCACUUACUCAAUGGACAUGAAUCUGAGCAAAUUCUGAGUAAUAGUGGAGGACAGAGGAGCCUGGCGUGCUGCAGUCCAUGGGGUCACAAAGAGUCAAACACGACUUAGCGACUGAACAACUACCACUGAUCCAGCCUUCCUUCUCUGCCCCACACCUUUGCCAGAUACAGAAGUAUCUCUAUAGCUAACGCAACAAUCUGACCAUCCAUGUGGGUAACCUGUGGUUCCCAGAUAGCUCCUCUUGCUCUCUCCUUCUCUUCCUGAAAGAGUGUUGAGUUCCACGGUUUUUGCUAACUUGUCACAGUCAGGAAGAGCUGGGGACUUCAGGAACCUGGCACAGCAGCUCUUUUCCCUGGGGUGCUGCCUGCCAUGCUGGUAUCUGAGUCUGGAAAUCCAUGCUGACUCUAGUCUAACUCGGGUGGACCCAGCCCAGCAGCAAGCCCUGGAUGAUGAGGCCUCACUGACCCAUUGUUCUGAGGUCAUUCUGCGACUCCCCAUCAACCCAGGCUUGGGUGCUCUUCCCUGCACGCGUCUCAGCUGCAAAACCGCCUCUUAUCCACCCGUCAAGCUCCUCAGCUACACUGUAGAUGGUAACUGGGCCACCCGGGAGUUGAGGGAGGCUUUGGACAGCUCAACCUCCACAACACCUUCUGCCUCACCAAGACGAAACGCUUGCACUCAAGAGCAAUUUCAAGAUAUUCACGAGCCCUCGAAGAGCUCUCUGCGCUAUCAUGUUCAUACGCAGUGGCCAAGAGCUGGAAGCAACCCAAGUGUCCACUGAUGGGGAAUGAGGGAAGAAAAUGUGGUCCGUAGUGCAGGGGGAGAUUAUUUAGCCUCCACAAGAAGGAGACCCAUCACAUGCUACAAAUGUGGAUGAACUUUGAGGAGAUUAUGUUGAGUGAAAUAAGCCAGCCACGAAAGGACAAAUAGUGUAUGAGUCAAAUUCAUAGAAACAGAAAGGAGCUGGAGGGUGGGAGGGAGUUUUGUCUCAUGGGGAGGGAGUUUCAGAUUUCCAAGACUAAUAAGUUUUGGAGAUCUGCUUCACAACAGUGCGAAGGCUCUGAAUACUGCUGAACUCAACCUAAUAAUAAUGGGCUUCCCUUGUGGCUCAGCUGGUAAAGAGUCCGCCUGCAAAGCGGGUAGCCCUGGGUUCGAUCCCUGGGUCGGGAAGAUCCCCUGGAGAAGGGAAAGGCUACCCACUCCAGUAUUCUGGCCUGGAGGAUUCCAUGGACUGUACAGAACCCAAAGAGUCGGACACGACUGGGCGACUUUCACUUUCAAUCUAAU
ensembl:lncRNA